rnacentral:misc_RNA from 1 species
GUAGGUGAACCUGCGGAAGGAUCAUUAUUGAAUUGUUUUGGGGGGGUUGUAGCUGGCUUGUCAUGAGCAUGUGCACACCUUCUCUACAUUCAUCUUUUACCCCCUGUGCACUUUAUGUAGACUUGGAGAUAGCUCUCAACUGUAAUUGGUUGGAUGGAGGAUAAUGCAUUUGUUGCUUGUUCUCAAUUUCACAAGUCUAUGCUUUUCAUAUACUCUUCAAUGUUUUGAAUGGUUUUCUUGUAAAUGGUCU